GGGGGAAAAACACCAGUGGUCAUUAUCCUGCUGAGAUUUGUGAUUCAUGAAAUACUAUGUUGAUUAUUAAAUUCACUUCUGGGACCUUUUGAAGUGGAGUCAACUUUGGAUACCAUGGAAACCAUCAGUGCAUCUCUCAGAGUUCAAUGAAGAGGACCAUUAAGAAGGAGCUCAAAAAACUUUCCUCACAUGCCAAGGAGCUGAUUCACUGAUGGAGGAAUUUGUGGAGCAGAGCAGAGCUUUACCCAAUUAGCUAAUUUCAAGAUACAUCAGCAUAGGCACACUGGACAAUAACCAUACACCUGUGAGCUGGUUCACUGAUGGAGGAAUUUGUGGAGCAAAAGAGUAACACCAGCAGCCAAAUGCUGACAGUGGCAGAGAGCUGAUUCAGUGAUGGAGGAAUUUGUGGAGCAGAGUAACACCAGCAGCCAAAUGCUGACAGUGGCAGAGGUAAGUCACUUUAACCUGACACAUUAGAAAAGGAGGAGACAUGGCAUUCCAAGAAAGCUGAAUAGAAACCUAUAGGAGAAUCCUGUAAAAAUGUUCUAACCCCAAAGAGCCAAUCAACAGGCCAAAACAUAUAUAAGUCAAGGCUGAAGAUACAUGAGUGUAUCCACACAGCGACUCAUCCACUUUAAGACAUCAGAA